UUUAUACAAAGCGUAGGUCCCGCCCUGCUUCCGUACUCCGCUGUGUGCCGAUUCCACCCGAACAUAACUUUCCGGAGGCGGCCCAUAUAGCUAAAAUGUUUCUUCUAUGAUACUUAACUACAACUCCCAUGAUGCACGAGGAAAAGGUGGAGGUGGCAAAGGCCAAACAACAGGAUUAUGAGAACUUGUGUGACAGGUUGAACACAAUGGAUGAAGAGGUGGAUCUGGACAGGUUGGCAAAUAUUUCAAGGAUAGGGAUGGUAAUGUGCUUACAUGUUCCCUUAACUGUAAUGGGAAAAAUGGACGAAGAACUUUGAACAUCUGAUGAACAAAGACAAAUGUUACAGAAAAGUUGGCUCUGGAGCUUAACGCAGUAAAACUCAGCAAGGAUGAAAUGAGGAAGCAACUGAAAAGGAUGGAAAGUGAAAAAUAGUCUUGACUAGAAUUUUAGUGGAAAUUGUGUUGUUUAAAGUCUCACUUCAUCUGUAUUUUUAUCCAUUGUACAAUUAUUCCCAGUGGUCUGUUAAUUGUGAUUAUGUUGCCCCCUCCCCCAAAUGACAUUUUUAAAGACAUAUAUUUUUGCACAGCAUUACUUGACUAUAAGUUGCGGAUGGAUUUAAGCCUCUGCUGACAUCUCAUCAUCCCUUUGUUUACACUCUCUCCCACUAUGUUACAACCCCCUCAGUUUGGUUUUUGUUUAACUAAAGUUGUAGUACAUCCAGUCAUUAAUGUCCUCAAUGCAUUUACCAGCAGCCUGUACAGGGCCUCGGUCUACUAGUGUCAAUGUAAUAUAUAUCUGUGUGUCAUCUGCAUAGCUAUGGUAACUAAUGUUGUUGUACAUUAGAAGGAAGAAGAAAGGUCAGAUGCUGCAAGACAGUGUAUCUGUAUGUGAAUGAGGAACUGAAGUGGAAUGGUGAGGUCACAGGCAGCAGAGGGGAUAAAGGUGGAGGACUUUAAACACUUAGUCAACAGACUAGAGCAAUUGAGAGUGUGGGAAAGUGGUGAAGAGGCGUGUGCAAGCAGAAUAGAAGGGGUGGAGGAAGGUUUCAUGCAUGAUGUCUGACAAAAGAGUGUCAGCAAAAAUGAAAGGACAGCAGUGGUUUAGAGACAGUGACUGAGGAAGCAGAGCUGGAGGUAGCAGAGCAGAUGAUGUUGAGGUUAUCUUUGAGACUGAUCAGGAUGAAUAGAAUCAGAAAUUACUACAUCAGAGGGACGGCUCAGAUUUGAUGUUUUGGAGAUGAUUGCAGAAAAGAUGGUUUGGACAUGUUGAGAGUAGGGGCAGUAAUUUUGUUACCAAAAGGACGCUGUGCUUGAUGCAAGCAGAAAAGAGGAAUACCUAAAAGUAGUUUCAUGGAUGUAGUGAAGGAGGACAUUAGGGUGAUGGUGUGAGCCAGGAAGAUGAUUUGCUGUGGAGCAGCCAAAAAAAAAAAAAA